UCGAUCCUGCAUGGGGGCAAUUUCUUCUGCCCUUUUGCCACGCCGCCGCAGAUGGACCGUGACCGAGUCUGUGAUGAGCAAAAGCAAAUGGCGCGCAAAGGGCCAACGAGUCAACUCCUCCCAACUCCUAACCCUAGUUGAUAGACUAGUAGUAUAGUAAUUCCCAGGUCGAAGCUCCUCGGAUAAGUGAUUCCUAGUGUGUUACUUUCUUGUAAAGAAUCAAAAAUGAGUUGGUCUACUUUCCAGAAACUUGUGGCAGGCCAAUCUCAAUCGCCUGCCAGGAGAAUCCUCCCCCUCAUCUACAAGCCCAUUCCCAGCCACCCGUCGCAGCCAUUACCAUCAUUAAUCCCGCCGACUGCCGUCAAUAAUAGUACGCCAUUCUUGCCCCCUUCCUCCGAGUCUCAGACGACAGCGUUUCAUAUCCCCUUAUGGAAUCAACCUUGGACGGAGAAUUGUUGGAGUUUCAACCAUUCUCCUCCUUCACACCGCUACCUUCCGAGCUUUUGUUUUGGGCCGUUUUUCCUAAAUCCAAUAGGCUUAAAUGGGGUAAUUAAAACUGACGAGGGCGAAUGCUUCUUGGAGGAUUCGCGGACGCCGACACCGACGGUCUGGGCGGAUAGCGUGAAGAAGAAGAGGAAGAGAAAGAUGAACAAGCACAAGUUGAGGAAGUUGAGGAAGCGCCUUAGGAGAAAAACAUGAUGACAAUGCUCCUUUGUCCCUCGAUCAAUUUCCGACGGUGUUGGAGUUUCUCAAUUUAUCAAAUCCAUGCGCCCGCGCCGCCCGCCCGCCUACUACAUUUUGUUUAAAAAGGUUCUGGGGCCGUGAAUGAUUCACAUGAAUGUGGCAAGAGUUAUGAUAUCUAUCUAGAUAAGAAAUGAAGAUAUUAGCAACCAUUUUCAGUCUGAAUUGUGCAGGGAAUUUUUUUUUCUUCUGUUUUUGGGUUUUUCGUAUUAUCAGGGGGAAACAGGUAAAAGUAGUACUUUACAUGAAUUUUCUGCCUAUUAUUAUUAUAUUUAAUCAAACAUUAGAGGCAAAAGGGCUGCACCUCUUUUCCUCUUUGGUUGGUUGGAAAGCAUAUCAUCAACAGUAGCCUGUUACUGUAAAUAUUUCGGUCAACAUUUACCUCGCAGGCAGAAUAUGUUCAGGAGAUUACCAGGCGGGGCGACCAGCUUCUUUUCCUAAA